AAAACACUUGCCUAAAGUGCUGGCAAAACUCUUAUUGUUUGUAGCACUUCUGGAAAAAAGACUCCUGGGACUAACAGUGGAAUUCUGGCUAUUGAUUGGCUGGUUAAAUAGAGGACUAUUAGCUUCAGACAGGCUAGAUUGAUUAUACAGCAGCAGAAAGAGCUCAGCUUCAGAGCUGAGUGAACGUCAAGGUGAGGGAGAGAAGGAGAAGGGGGAAAGAGGGAGGGAGAGAGAGAGAGAGAGAGAGAGAGAGAGAGAGAGAGAGAGAGAGAGAGAGAGAGAGAAAAGCAGGCUGUCUGCAGACUAGAAUAUCAGCAUGGAACUGCUGGUAUCUGAAAAUCCUGAUACUCAGCUCCCUCAGUGAGCAAGUUACUGAGCUACCUUGCAAAAGGAUGCCAGCUCUGAGAAAGAAAAACAGACUGAAUCUUGGAAUAGUUCACCCUACUCCUACAUCUUUGAAGAAGAGUUUCUUUUCCUGAACAAAAUAUAUGUACAUAUUUCAACCUCCCUUUCCAAUUUUCCCAAGUCCCAGGAUUAAAUAAAAACAGUUUGAGCCUCCAGUCUCUCUAAGAAAUAAUUGCUGCUGCCUUGUUGAUGGAUUGCAAUCUGUGUCUCUGGUUGGAAUAGUCACAUCAAUACAAUUAAAGGCCCCAGAAGCACUGAAGAAAUAUAAUGAAGUAUCGAUUGAUUGUUUAUACUUCAGUUGGCUAUUAAGAAGACUGAAGAACUAAUUCAUGACUUUAAUAAAAAUUUCCAACUAUUUAUAAGAAUAUUCUAAUAUAUUCAAGGACAAACUCCACCAAGAUAUCACAUAGAAACCUUCAAGGUUGCUACAGAUCAGAGAACAUGUCCAAGGUUAAUUAGGAUAAUGCAUUGGGGCCAUGGUGAUAUAAUAGGUGAGUUAAAUUUCAAUAGGAUUCUUUUUUGUUUUUUU